rnacentral:rRNA from 1 species
UGGGGAAUCUUGCACAAUGGGGGCAACCCUGAUGCAGCGACGCCGCGUGAGCGAUGAAGCCCUUCGGGGUGUAAAGCUCUUUCGGCAGGGAAGAUAAUGACGGUACCUGCAGAAUCAGCUGCGGCUAACUACGUGCCAGCAGCCGCGGUAAUACGUAGGCAGCGAGCGUUGUUCGGAGUUACUGGGCGUAAAGGGUGUGUAGGCGGUGCUCUAAGUGUGGUGUGAAAUCUCCCGGCUCAACUGGGAGGGUGCGCUACGAACUGGAGUGCUCGAGUGCGGGAUGGGAGAGUGGAAUUCCUGGUGUAGCGGUGAAAUGCGUAGAUAUCAGGAGGAACACCGGUGGUGUAGACGGCUCUCUGGACCGCAACUGACGCUGAGACACGAAAGCGUGGGUAGCAAACAGGAUUAGAUACCCAGGUAGUCCCUGAGCGGGCUGGCAAGGCGCAU